rnacentral:rRNA from 1 species
UGGGGAAUAUUGCACAAUGGAGGGAACUCUGAUGCAGCGACGCCGCGUGAACGAAGAAGGCUUUCGAGUCGUAAAGUUCUUUUAUAUGGGAAGAUAAUGACGGUACCAUAAGAAAAAGCCCCGGCUAACUACGUGCCAGCAGCCGCGGUAAUACGUAGGGGGCUAGCGUUGUCCGGAAUCACUGGGCGUAAAGGGUUCGCAGGCGGAAAUGCAAGUCAGGUGUAAAAGGCAGUAGCUUAACUACUGUAAGCAUUUGAAACUGCAUAUCUUGAGAAGAGUAGAGGUAAGUGGAAUUUUUAGUGUAGCGGUGAAAUGCGUAGAUAUUAAAAAGAAUACCGGUGGCGAAGGCGACUACUGGGCUCAUUCUGACGCUGAGGAACGAAAGCGUGGGUAGCAAACAGG